CAGCAGCCGCGGGAAUACGUAGGUGGCAAGCGUUGUCCGGAAUUAUUGGGCGUAAAGCGCGCGCAGGUGGUUUAAUAAGUCUGAUGUGAAAGCCCACGGCUCAACCGUGGAGGGUCAUUGGAAACUGCUAAACUUGAGUGCAGGAGAGAAAAGUGGAAUUCCUAGUGUAGCGGUGAAAUGCGUAGAGAUUAGGAGGAACACCAGUGGCGAAGGCGGCUUUUUGGCCUGUAACUGACACUGAGGCGCGAAAGCGUGGGGAGCAAACAGGAUUAGAUACCCCCGUAGUCCCUGUCUCUUAUAC
rnacentral:rRNA from 1 species